UACGUAGGGGGCAAGCGUUGUCCGGAAUCAUUGGGCGUAAAGAGCGUGUAGGCGGCUUGGUAAGUCCGCUGUGAAAGUCCAGGGCUCAACCCUGGAAUGCCGGUGGAAACUGUCAAGCUUGAGUCCGGAAGAGGCGAGUGGAAUUCCUGGUGUAGCGGUGAAGUGCGCAGAUAUCAGGAGGAACACCAAUGGCGAAGGCAGCUCGCUGGGACGGUACUGACGCUGAGACGCGAAAGCGUGGGGAGCAAACAGG
rnacentral:rRNA from 1 species